rnacentral:rRNA from 1 species
GACGAACGCUGGCGGCGUGCUUAACACAUGCAAGUCGAACGGAAAGGCCCUGCUUUUGUGGGGUGCUCGAGUGGCGAACGGGUGUGUAACACGUGAGUAACCUGCCCUUGACUUUGGGGUAACUUCAGGAGACUGGGGCGCUUACCGGACAGGAGCUCCUGCUGCAUGGUUGGGGUUGGAAAAUUUCGGAGGUUCGGGAUGGAAUCGCGGCUUAUCAGUAUGUUGGUUGGGUAGUGGCUUACCAAGGCUUUGACGGGUAGCCGGACUGAGAGGGUGACCGGCCACAUUGGGACUGAGAUACGGGCCAGAGUGCUACGGGAGGCAGCAGUGGGGAAUAUUGCACAAUGGGCGGAAGCCUGAUGCAGCAACGCCGCGUGCGAGAUGACGGCCGUCGGGUUGUAAACCGCGUGCGCCUGGGACGAAGCGUGAGUGACGGUAAUGGGUAAAGAAGCACCGGCUAACUACGUG